UACAGAGGUCUCAAGCGUUGUUCGGAUUCAUUGGGCGUAAAGGGUGCGUAGGCGGCGCGGUAAGUCGGGUGUGAAAUCUCGGAGCUUAACUCCGAAACUGCAUUCGAUACUGGCGUGCUUGAGGACUGGAGAGGAGACUGGAAUUUACGGUGUAGCAGUGAAAUGCGUAGAUAUCGUAAGGAAGACCAGUGGCGAAGGCGGGUCUCUGGACAGUUCCUGACACUGAGACACGAAGGCCAGGGAGAGCAAACGGG
rnacentral:rRNA from 1 species